GACAUACUAAGAACUUUCCAGAGAUGGAUUGGUGCCUUCGGGAACUUAGAUACAGGUGCUGCAUGGCUGUCGUCAGCUCGUGUCGUGAGAUGUUGGUUAACGUCCGCAACGAGCGCAACCCUUUUCCUUAUUUGCCAGCGGGUCAUGCCGGGAACUUUAAGGAUACUGCCAGUGACAAACUGGAGGAAGGCGGGGACGACGUCAAGUCAUCAUGGCCCUUACGGCCAGGGCUACACACGUGCUACAAAGGUCGGUACAAAGGGUUGCUACCUCGCGAGAGGAUGCUAAUCUCAAAAAGCCGAUCGUAGUCCGGAUCGCAGUCUGCAACUCGACUGCGUGAAGUCGGAAUCGCUAGUAAUCGCGGAUCAGAAUGCCGCGGUGAAUACGUUCCCGGGCCUUGUACACACCGCCCGUCACACCAUGGGAGUUUGUUGCACCAGAAGUAGGUAGUCUAACCGCAAGGAGGACGCUUACCACGGUGUGGCCGAUGACUGGGGUGAAGUCGUAACAAGGUAGGCGUAGAUGA
rnacentral:rRNA from 1 species